rnacentral:snRNA from 1 species
GGAUGUGAGGGCGAGCUGGCUGUCACCCCAUUGAUCACCAGGGUUGAUUCGGCUGAUUUGGCUGGCUAGGUGGGUGUCCCCUUCCUCCCUUACCGCUUCUUGUGCAUCCCUCCCAAAGCUGUGUGCUCGGUCAAAGAGGACGACCAUCCCCAACAGAAGACUGUUCUUUGGUCAAGGGUAUAUGAGUAGCUGCGCUCCCCUGCUAGAACCUCCAAACAAGCAUUCAGUUUCCUCAUCUAUAAAGUAGGGACAGUAACUGUACCUACCUCAGAGGACUGCUGUGAGGAAUAAAUGAGAUAUUCAUAUGAA